rnacentral:misc_RNA from 1 species
GAUGAAGAACGCAGCGAAAUGCGAUAAGUAAUGUGAAUUGCAGAAUUCAGUGAAUCAUCGAAUCUUUGAACGCACCUUGCGCCCUUUGGCCAUUCCGAAGGGCAUGCCUGUUUGAGUAUCAUGAACACCUCAACUCUUCAUGGUUUUCCAUGAUGAGCUUGGACUUUGGGGGUCUUGCUGGCCUGUGGGUCGGCUCCUCUCAAAUGAAUCAGCUUGCCGGUUUUUGGUGGGCAUCACAGGUGUGAUAACUAUCUACGCUUGUGGUUUUCCACCAGGGUAACCUUCAGCAGUGGAGGUUCACUGGAGCUUACAAAUGUCUCUCAUCUGUGAGGACAGCCCUUUGAAUGUUUGAUCUCAAAUCAGGUAGGACUACCCGCUGAACUUAAGCAUAUCAAUAAGCGGAGGA